AAGCGCUUGUGACCAGACUUGGGCGCGGCGGAUCAUCCGGGGUUCUCUCCGGUGCACUUCGCCGCGUCCAGGCCAGCAUCAGUUUGCUUCGGGGGAUAAAGGCUUCGGGAAUGUGGCUCCUUCGGGAGUGUUAUAGCCCGUUGUGUAAUACCCUGAGGCAGACUGAGGUUCGCGCUCUGCAAGGAUGCUGGCGUAAUGGUCAUCAGCGA
rnacentral:rRNA from 1 species